UAUUGGACAAUGGGCGAAAGCCUGAUCCAGCCAUGCCGCGUGUGUGAAGAAGGUCNUCNNAUUGUNANGCACUUUAAGUUGGGNNNNNGGGCAGUAAGUAAAUACCUUGCUGUUUUGACGUUACCGACAGAAUAAGCACCGGCUAACUUCGUGCCAGCAGCCGCGGUAAUACGAAGGGUGCAAGCGUUAAUCGGAAUUACUGGGCGUAAAGCGCGCGUAGGUGGUUCGUUAAGUUGGAUGUGAAAGCCCCGGGCUCAACCUGGGAACUGCAUCCAAAACUGGCGAGCUAGAGUACGGUAGAGGGUGGUGGAAUUUCCUGUGUAGCGGUGAAAUGCGUAGAUAUAGGAAGGAACACCAGUAGCGAAGGCGACCACCUGGACUGAUACUGACACUGGGGUGCGAAAGCGUGGGGAGCAAACAGG
rnacentral:rRNA from 1 species